CAUGCUGACUGCACUGCUUGAACGGUGCUGCAAGCGGAGAGGCGUCAGGGAUGCAGAUCCUUACGAUUGGGAGAAGGAUGCGGGCGCCGUAUCGCGAGCAAGAGCGGCGGUACACCCGACGCCGGAACACGCCCUGCCGACCGACACGGCGCCUGAUAACACUCGUCGCCGCCUAGAAACGGAAGGCACGACUGGGGUAGCCACCGACACAGCCACCAAAGAUCGAGACAAACGUCCGCAGCCUGCGUCACCUCGUCAUGCGCCUAAGGAACACCGCCUCAAU